CAAUAGCGUAUAUUAAAGUUGUUGCAGUUAAAAGCUCGUAGUUGGAUUUCUGGGAGGGUGCCAAUGUCCGUCGUCGUACGUGUUGCAGCGGCGCCCUUCCAUCCUUCUGUUAACGACUUUGGGCAUUCAUUUGCCGGAGUCGGGCUCAGAUAUUUUACCUUGAGAAAAUUAGAGUGUUCAAAGCGGGCGUUUGCUUGAAUAUAUUAGCAUGGAAUAAUGGAAUAGGACCUGGUCCUAUUUUGUUGGUUUUGAGGACUAGAGUAAUGAUUAAUAGGGAUAGUUGGGGCAGUUCAUAUUUAAUUGUCAGAGGUGAAAUUCUUGGAUUUAUGAAAGAUGAACUUCUGCGAAAGCAUUUGCCAAGGAUGUUUUCAUUAAUCAAGAACGAAAGUUAGGGGAUCGAAGAUGAUCAGAUACCA
rnacentral:rRNA from 1 species